UACGUAGGGCGCAAGCGUUAUCCGGAAUUAUUGGGCGUAAAGAGCUCGUAGGCGGUCUGUCGCGUCUGCUGUGAAAACCUGGGGCUUAACUCCGGGCCUGCAGUGGGUACGGGCAGACUAGAGUGCGGUAGGGGAGACUGGAAUUCCUGGUGUAGCGGUGAAAUGCGCAGAUAUCAGGAGGAACACCGGUGGCGAAGGCGGGUCUCUGGGCCGUAACUGACGCUGAGGAGCGAAAGCAUGGGGAGCGAACAGG
rnacentral:rRNA from 1 species